rnacentral:rRNA from 1 species
ACGUACACUCCUGCGGGAGGCAUCAGUGGGGAAUAUUGGACAAUGGGCGCAAGCCUGAUCCAGCCAUGCCGCGUGAGUGAUGAAGGCCCUAGGGUUGUAAAGCUCUUUUGUGCGGGAAGAUAAUGACGGUACCGCAAGAAUAAGCCCCGGCUAACUUCGUGCCAGCAGCCGCGGUAAUACGAAGGGGGCUAGCGUUGCUCGGAAUCACUGGGCGUAAAGGGUGCGUAGGCGGGUCUUUAAGUCAGGGGUGAAAUCCUGGAGCUCAACUCCAGAACUGCCUUUGAUACUGAAGAUCUUGAGUUCGGGAGAGGUGAGUGGAACUGCGAGUGUAGAGGUGAAAUUCGUAGAUAUUCGCAAGAACACCAGUGGCGAAGGCGGCUCACUGGCCCGAUACUGACGCUGAGGCACGAAAGCGUGGGGAGCAAACAGGAUUAGAUACCCCUGUAGUCCCA